rnacentral:rRNA from 1 species
AACGAACGCUGGCGGCAUGCCUAACACAUGCAAGUCGAACGAGACCUUCGGGUCUAGUGGCGCACGGGUGCGUAACGCGUGGGAACCUGCCCUUAGGUUCGGAAUAACUCCCCGAAAGGGGUGCUAAUACCGGAUAAUGUCUUCGGACCAAAGAUUUAUCGCCUUUGGAUGGGCCCGCGUUGGAUUAGCUAGUUGGUAGGGUAAAAGCCUACCAAGGCGACGAUCCAUAGCUGGUCUGAGAGGAUGAUCAGCCACACUGGGACUGAGACACGGCCCAGACUCCUACGGGAGGCAGCAGUGGGGAAUAUUGGACAAUGGGCGAAAGCCUGAUCCAGCAGUGCCGCGUGAGUGAUGAAGGCCUUAGGGUUGUAAAGCUCUUUUACCCGGGAUGAUAAUGACAGUACCGGGGGAAUAAGCUCCGGCUAACUCCGUG